UAGGCUUUUGCUCAUGCACUGUAUUUGUCUGAGCAUGCACCAUGCUUGUCUGCUCAUACCUCAUGGUUCCUGAGCAGGAAUCUUUUUUUUUCUGUUUCU
rnacentral:pre_miRNA from 14 species